rnacentral:rRNA from 1 species
UACGGAGGAUCCAAGCGUUAUCCGGAUUUAUUGGGUUUAAAGGGUGCGUAGGCGGCUUUUUAAGUCAGGGGUGAAAGACGGUGGCUCAACCAUCGCAGUGCCUUUGAUACUGAAAGCUUGAAUAGACCUGAGGUAGGCGGAAUGUGACAAGUAGCGGUGAAAUGCAUAGAUAUGUCACAGAACACCAAUUGCGAAGGCAGCUUACUAAAGUCUAAUUGACGCUGAGGCACGAAAGCGUGGGGAUCAAACAGG